rnacentral:lncRNA from 1 species
CGCUAUUUUAUGUAAAUAAAAUUUAAUUUUAAUUAAAAAAAUUAAGGAUAUUUAUUAUUUAAAUGAAUAAUUUAUCGUUUUUUUUAUUUUAAAUGAGAUUAAAAAUUUAAUUUUAUAAAUAGAAUAAAUAUUUAUUAAAAAUAUUUUAAUUUUUAAUAAAUUAAUUUAAAAUAAAUAAAAUUUAGUUUCUGAUUAUUAAAAAAAAAAAUAGCAAAAGGAUUAUGGUAUAUUUGACUUUGUAAAGUGCAUCGGCGCCUUUCCACGCCAAUGGACCCCACGAAAAUUGCCCACAUUCACCCCCUCUUCCCACCCC